rnacentral:rRNA from 1 species
UGGGUUUGACAUGCACAGGACGCUGGUAGAGAUAUCAGUUCCCUUGUGGCCUGUGUGCAGGUGGUGCAUGGCUGUCGUCAGCUCGUGUCGUGAGAUGUUGGGUUAAGUCCCGCAACGAGCGCAACCCUCACCUUCAGUUGCCAUCAUUUAGUUGGGCACUCUGAAGGAACUGCCGGUGACAAGCCGGAGGAAGGUGGGGAUGACGUCAAGUCCUCAUGGCCCUUACGCGCUGGGCUACACACGUGCUACAAUGGUGGUGACAAUGGGUCGCAAGCGUGCGAACGCAAGCUAAUCUCCAAAAGCCAUCUCAGUUCGGAUUGCACUCUGCAACUCGAGUGCAUGAAGUCGGAAUCGCUAGUAAUCGUGGAUCAGCAUGCCACGGUGAAUACGUUCCC